AUUCAAUCAAAUUAAGUUAAUUAGUGAUCAAGUCACUAAUUAAACCUCUCAUAAAUAUUGAGUCUAAAUCCGAUGGGCAAUCGGGCAUCAGAAUUCAUCGAUAUAAAAUCCUGAUCGAAAAAUCCCAAACUAGUGGGACUUUUGACCUUGGUACCCAAAAUGUGUAGAACUCAUGAUCAGAGAAUCUUGAUUCUCGAUCAUAGAAUUUCAGACACUUAAGACUCUUCACCAGCCAUC
rnacentral:lncRNA from 1 species